UACGAAGGGGGCUAGCGUUGCUCGGAAUCACUGGGCGUAAAGCGCACGUAGGCGGAUCUUUAAGUCAGGGGUGAAAUCCCAAGGCUCAACCUUGGAACUGCCUUUGAUACUGGGGAUCUCGAGUCCGGAAGAGGUGAGUGGAACUGCGAGUGUAGAGGUGAAAUUCGUAGGUAUUCGCAAGAACACCAGUGGCGAAGGCGGCUCACUGGUCCGGUACUGACGCUGAGGUGCGAAAGCGUGGGGAGCAAACAGG
rnacentral:rRNA from 1 species